rfam:Myotis lucifugus cont2.29629, whole genome shotgun sequence.
GGAGGUUCUCGGGUGACACACCCAAGAAUCGGGCUCCCUCCUCUCUGGUUCCAGGUGCAUCACCCAAAAACCACA